rnacentral:rRNA from 1 species
AGUGAACGCUGGCGGUAGGCCUAAUACAUGCAAGUCGAACGGCAGCACAGUAAGAGCUUGCUCUUACGGGUGGCGAGUGGCGGACGGGUGAGGAAUACAUCGGAAUCUACUUUUUCGUGGGGGAUAACGUAGGGAAACUUACGCUAAUACCUAAUACGACCUACGGGUGAAAGCAGGAGAUCUUCGCACCUUGCGCGAUUGAAUGAGCCGAUGUCGGAUUAGCUAGUUGGCGGGGUAAAGGCCCACCAAGGCGACGAUCCGUAGCUGGUCUGAGAGGAUGAUCAGCCACACUGGAACUGAGACACGGUCCAGACUCCUACGGGAGGCAGCAGUGGGGAAUAUUGGACAAUGGGCGCAAGCCUGAUCCAGCCAUACCGCGUGAGUGAAGAAGGCCUUCGGGUUGUAAAGCCCUUUUGUUAGGAAAGAAAAGCAGCAGGUUAAUACCCCGCUGUUCUGACGGUACCCAAAGAAUAAGCACCGGCUAACUUCGUG